GAGGGUCUAGCUCAGUGGUAGAGUGCAUGCACAUGAGGUCCUGGGUUCAAUCCCCAGUAUCUCCA
rfam:Camelus ferus unplaced genomic scaffold scaffold1713, whole genome shotgun sequence.